AACGAACGCUGGCGGCAUGCCUAACACAUGCAAGUCGAACGAGACCUUCGGGUCUAGUGGCGCACGGGUGCGUAACGCGUGGGAACCUGCCCUUAGGUUCGGAAUAACUCCCCGAAAGGGGUGCUAAUACCGGAUAAUGUCUUCGGACCAAAGAUUUAUCGCCUUUGGAUGGGCCCGCGUUGGAUUAGCUAGUUGGUAGGGUAAAAGCCUACCAAGGCGACGAUCCAUAGCUGGUCUGAGAGGAUGAUCAGCCACACUGGGACUGAGACACGGCCCAGACUCCUACGGGAGGCAGCAGUGGGGAAUAUUGGACAAUGGGCGAAAGCCUGAUCCAGCAAUGCCGCGUGAGUGAUGAAGGCCUUAGGGUUGUAAAGCUCUUUUACCCGGGAUGAUAACGACAGUACCGGGAGAAUAAGCACCGGCUAACUCCGUG
rnacentral:rRNA from 1 species